rnacentral:rRNA from 1 species
UACGUAGGGUGCGAGCGUUGUCCGGAUUUAUUGGGCGUAAAGGGCUCGUAGGCGGCGUGUCGCGUCGGGAGUGAAAUCCCGAGGCUCAACCUCGGGUCUGCAGUCGAUACGAGCAAACUAGAGUGUUGCAGGGGAGACUGGAAUUCCUGGUGUAGCGGUGAAAUGCGCAGAUAUCAGGAGGAACACCGGUGGCGAAGGCGGGUCUCUGGGCAACAACUGACGCUGAGGAGCGAAAGCGUGGGGAGCGAACAGG